rnacentral:tRNA from 1 species
GGGGCAGUAGCUCAGCUGGGAGAGCGGCACGUUCGCAACGUGCAGGUCGAGGGUUCGAGUCCCUUCUGCUCCACAA